rnacentral:rRNA from 1 species
UUCGGGCGCCGGCGAGUGGCGAACGGGUGAGUAACACGUGGAGACCUAUCCAUUGGUGGGGGACAACAGCUGGAAACGGCUGCUAAUACCGCAUAAUCCCUACGGGGGAAAGAUUUAUCGCCAUAGGAGGGUUCCGCGUCGGAUUAGCUAGUUGGUGGGGUAACGGCCUACCAAGGCAACGAUCCGUAGCUGGUCUUAGAGGAUGAUCAGCCACACUGGGACUGAGACACGGCCCAGACUCCUACGGGAGGCAGCAGUGGGGAAUAUUGCGCAAUGGAGGAAACUCUGACGCAGCGAUGCCGCGUGGGUGAAGAAGGCCUUAGGGUUGUAAAGCCCUUUCAGUGGGAACGAUGGUGACGGUACCCACAGAAGAAGCCCCGGCUGACUCCGUGCCAGCAGCCGCGGUAAUACGGAGGGGGCGAGCGUUGUUCGGAAUUAUUGGGCGUAAAGCGCGCGUAGGCGGUUUAUUAAG